rnacentral:rRNA from 3 species
GCGACCCAGGUCAGGCGGGACUACCC